UACAGAGGGGACAAGCGUUAUUCGGAAUUAUUGGGCGUAAAGGGCGCGUAGGCGGUCGUGCAAGUGGAAGGUGAAAUCCCUCGGCUCAACCGAGGAACUGCCUUUCAAACUGCAUGACUUGAGUCCGGGAGAGGUGAGUGGAAUUCCCAGUGUAGCGGUGAAAUGCGUAGAUAUUGGGAGGAACACCAGUGGCGAAGGCGGCUCACUGGACCGGAACUGACGCUGAGGCGCGAAAGCGUGGGGAGCAAACGGG
rnacentral:rRNA from 1 species